rnacentral:tRNA from 1 species
AUUUAUAUAGUUUAAGUAAAACAUUACAUUUUCAUUGUAAAAUUAAAAAUAUUUUUUUUUAUAAAUU